rnacentral:pre_miRNA from 1 species
UAUGUACUUCCUCCGUUCCGAAUUACUUGUCGCAGGUAUGGAUAUAUCUAGAAUUUUAGUUCUAGAUAUAUCCAUUUCUGCGACGAGUAAUUUAAAACGAAGGGAGUAUUUC